UUAAACUAGCACUAAGUCCUGCACUCCAAAGACUGAAGGACCUGAGGGAAAGGCAUCAAGGGGAGAGUUAUAUGCUCCUGUUCACCCCUCUUGGCUAGAAAAAUCAUAGUGUUUGUGACCAGAAAAUUGAAAUGGAAUGAGAUCCAAGAUGGCAGCCACUGACUUCUUUUCUAUUAACCUUCAGGCUGGAGUGCUCUGCAGAAGGAAGGGUGACCAAGAUGAAUUACCUCUUGGAUUUCAGCGCAUUGUUUCACUAACGUAAGAAGGCUAUCUGAGAAGUUUGUGAUUCCCACCAGACCAGCCAAGCAAACCAGCUCUCAGAGAGAGAUGACCACGGAUGGAGAAGACCAGGGCAGUGCAGUGUGGUGUAAGAAGCUUCAACUCUGGGGACAGUGGUAUGGGGUUUGAAUCCAAUUCUGGCACCUGCUACUGGAGCAGCUUCAGGCAAGCACCUCCGUCGCUGCUAUGAUGUUGAAGGAACAAAUCAAGGACAUAAGGCUGAGAGAUACAAUGUGGCCGAUUUCAAACAGAAAUGCUGCUGAGUACUUCAUCACCUGUUUUGUUGUGGUUCAAGUAAGGGCUGAAAUAAUAGUAGAAAAACGCGUAAACGAGUAAAUACAACUGAGAAAAGAAAGGUGGCGACGUAAAGCAGUAUAUUUACAUAUGAAGAUUGGUCAGGGAUGCACUCAUCUAUUCAUCCAGCCAUUCACCUACUCACCCUUCCAUCCAUCCGUUAAUUCUUUUUUUUUUUCAAAAAUGUUUUCUUGGGACUUCCCUGUUGGCGCAGUGGUUAGGAGUCCGCCUGCCGAUGCAGGGGAUGCGGCUUCAAACGCUUGUCUGGGAAGAUCCCACAUGCUGCAGAGCAACUAAGCCCGUGCACCACAACUACUGAGCCUGUGUUCUAGAGCCCAUGAGCCACAACUACUGAGCCUGCGUGCUGCAACCACCGAAGCCCGCGCGCCUAGAGCCCAUGCUCCACAACAAGAGAAGCCACUGCAAUGAGAAGCCUGCGCACCGCAACAAAGAGUAGCCCUCGCUCACCACAACUAGAGAAAAGCCCAUGGGCAGCAAUGAGACCCAACGCAGCCAAAAAUAAAUAAUAAAAUAAAUUAAUUAAACAA